rnacentral:rRNA from 1 species
UCCUAUCAAGUUUCAAUGGUAGGAUAGUGGCCUACCAUGGUAGUGACCGCUGGCAGAGAAUUAGGGUUCGAUUUCGAAGAGGGAGCCCGAGAAAUAGCUACCAUAUCCAAGGAACGCAGAAGGCGCGCAAAUUACCCAAUCCUGAUAUGGGGAGGUAGUGACAAUAAAUAACAAUACAGGCUCAAUGAGUCUGGUAAUUUGAAUGAGUACAAUCUAAAUCCCUUAACGAAGAUCCAUUAGAGGGAGAGUCUGGUGCCAGCAGUCGUAGUAAUUCCAGCACCAAUAGCAUAUAUUUAAGUUGUUACAUUUAAAAAGCUCGAAUUUGGACUUUGGGAUUGGCCGGUCGGCACGCCUAUGGUGUGCAUUGGUCGUCUCAUCCCUUCUAUCCGCGAUGCGCUCCUGGACUUAACUGGCCGGGACGUGCCUCCGGCGCUGUUACUUUAAAGAAAUUAGAGUGCUUAAAGCAAGCCUACGCUCGGUAUACAUUAGCAUGGGAUAACAUUAUAGGAUUUCGGUCCUUUUACAUUGGCCUUCGGGAUUGGAGUAAUGAUUAACAGGGACAGUCGGGGGGAUUCGUAUUUCAUAGUCUGAGGUGAAAUUAUUGGAUUUAUGAAAUACGAACAACUGCGAAAGCAUUUUGGAAGGAUUUUUUCAUUAAUUAAGAAUGAAAGUUGGGGUUUAGAAGGUGGUCAGAUACCGUCCUAGUCUCAACUAUAAACGAUGCCGACCAGGGAUCGGCGGAUGUUGCUUUUAGGACUCCGCCAGCACCUUAUGAGAAAUCAAAGUUUUUGGGUUCUGGGGGGAGUACGGUCGAAAGGCUAAAACUUAAAGGAAUUGACGGAAGGGUACCACUAGGAGUGGAGCCUGCGGCUUAAUUUGACUCAACACGGGGAAACUUACCAGGUCCAGACAUAGUAAGGAUUGACAAACUAAAGCUCUUUCUUGAGUCUAUGGGUGGUGGUGCAUGGCCGUUCUUAGUUAGUGGAGCGAUUUGUCUGGUUAAUUCCGUUAACAAAUGAGACCUCCGCCUGCUAACUAGCUAUGUGGAGGUAGCCCUUCACGGCCAGCUUCUUAGAGGGACUACGACCUUUUAGGCUGCAGAAGUUUGAGGCAAUAAAAGGUUUGUGAUGCCCUUAGAUGUUUUGGGCCGUACGCACACUACACUGAUGUAUUCAACGAGUUUAUAGCCUUGUCCGACAGGCCCGGGUAAUCUUUGAAAUUUCGUCAUGAUGGGGAUAGAUUAUUGCAAUUGUUGGUCUUCAACGAGGAA